UACGGGGGGGGCAAGCGUUGUUCGGAAUCACUGGGCGUAAAGGGUGUGUAGGCGGUUAUUUAAGUUUGGUGUGAAAUCUCCCGGCUCAACCGGGAGGGUGCGCCGAAUACUGAAUGACUUGGAGUGCGGGAGAGGAAAGUGGAAUUCCUGGUGUAGCGGUGAAAUGCGUAGAUAUCAGGAGGAACACCGGUGGUGUAGACGGCUUUCUGGACCGUAACUGACGCUGAGACACGAAAGCGUGGGGAGCAAACAGG
rnacentral:rRNA from 1 species